CUCUUUGUCUUGCCUUUGAAAUUUACCAAAUCUUACAAGAAAUCAAUACUUAAUUGAUUAUUCACUUUUCUGCAGCUUCAAACAGCAAGCACGCAUAAGAUCCUGGAGUAGUUCCCGAUUUCCAAUGCAGAAGGUUGCUUGGUGGCCGAGCUCUGCCAGUGUCCAACAGCAGGCAUUCCAUGGAGCAGUGCCCUGGUGUGGCGUGCCAGCCAGCAUCAGAUAUGGAAAACGAAGAUAUUCUAACGAAGCAGAACACUGUUCAGGAAGAGGCAGAUAGAUCCAUCUCAAGGCUUUGGAUGAAAGGCUGAGGCUGAAGCAGGAGCAAUUGGAUCCCAGAACAUUAUAAUUUUUUUUUUUUUUGCAUUAAUCCUUUUGGUGUCUGCUUACCCUUUUCUUCCCAUGGCAUUGACGUGGAAUAUCCCAAGUGCCACCGAACUCAGAGAACUCCACGCUGGAAUGGGGUGGCAUCCUCUUACUAUAGGAACACCUUCCGGAAAUUAUGGUAUAUUCUCCUCACAAAUGGAGAUUUUGCAGCCAGGCGCCAGACUCAAUCUUGUGAUUCUCUGGAUGUGGUCUACAUCCACAAUGAGCUGUUGAUCAAAGAGACCUAUUAGAUGUCCC